CUUUUCUAAUCAUAGAACAAAAUAUGUUACAUAAAAGGAUCGGAACGAUUAUUCAGUACUCAAUUAGAGGGAGGUGAAUAGGUCUCUAACAUGCUGUUUUAUCAAAAGAGCAGACUGGUGUUUGCAUGACUGUUGUUUCAUUACAGACCCUGUCAUUAAUUCCAUGUGUCAAUACUGCCCUGUAGUACACAGAGCAGACAAGAAAGAAGAGCCCUUGAAAACAAGGGAAUGAUUUUUGAGUCGUUAUCAAGCUAAGUGGCAAGCGGGAAGCUGAAACUCGUAUAGGUAAAUUCGAAGGGACUCUUGGGAGAUCUGCAAGUGGGAAACAAGAAUGCAUUUUACCAACUGCUUAAUUAUGUCCUGUUUUUCAGCAAGUACACUUGAAUUGAAUGCUUUGUUUGUAUUGCACAAAAACGUGCCGUGGGCAAGAGUAUUCUCUUGCUUCCAGGUCAAGUAAGGUGUUCUAUACACACACACUUCUGACCUAUUCUGUAAUGUGCAAUUGGGUUUGUUAGUAUCUGAGCCCCAAUUCUGCACUCUCAUUUCUGGGGGAAAGAGUCACAUAGGAACCAGAGCCCUAAAAAGUGGGACCUUCUCUAAGGUCCUGAGAAGUCAUGUAAGCCCAGGCAUUCCAGAGUGCCAUACCUACAGGAAAAUGGUGGCUCAGGAAACUGUUAACAUAUAUCUGGGGAAAAAAACAGCCAGAGAAUUUUAAGUAUGUAUAAAUCCCAUCAUCUCCCACCCCUAGAUCAUUAAGAAAUUUUUUUUGGUUUCCAUUAGCAGUUCCAAGGGUUAGGCUGGGGCAAAAUAGGGUUUCCUUUUUUGGACGUGCUUUACCUGUGUCCUCUUGCCUGGCCAAGCCCUUAUAGAUUAUGGUUCCUUAUCGUUUAGUAAGAUCAAAUUUCUAAAUGAUGUUUCGUUCCAGUUGAACAUUCUUGGAGGCUUAUCUCUUCCCUGGCCAGAUGCCUGAUCAGAUGAGAAGCCCGCCAUGAUACUGUCACAGUGCCUAGAAUGGGCUCUUUAUCCAGUAGACAUCACUGUACUUUUUGAUGAUAACGAGGGCAGUCUUAACUUAUGUUAAGGCCUGUGUAUAGCAUUGAAGGUAAGUAUGAAGGAGUUGUUGCUAUGUGAAUAUCUUAAUCCUGAUAC
rnacentral:lncRNA from 1 species